rnacentral:rRNA from 1 species
GAUGAACGCUGACAGCAUGCUUAACACAUGCAAGUCUUUGGCGAAGCUGUGCUUGCACAGCCUAGCCAAGGCGGACGGGUGAGUAACGCGUAAGGAACUUGCCCUGCAGUCAGGGAUAACAGACGGAAACGACUGAUAAGACCUGGUAAAGUCAGGCGGACUCAUGUCCAGCCUGAUGAAAAGAGAUGCUGCAGGAGAGCCUUGCGUCCUAUUAGCUUGUUGGUGGGGUAACGGCCCACCAAGGCGAUGAUAGGUAGCCGGCCUGAGAGGGUGGACGGCCACAAGGGGACUGAGAUACGGCCCUUACUCCUACGGGAGGCAGCAGUGGGGAAUAUUGGACAAUGGGGGCAACCCUGAUCCAGCAAUUCUGUGUGCACGAUGAAGGUUUUCGGAGUGUAAAGUGCUUUCAGCAGGGAAGAAAAAAAUGACGGUACCUGCAGAAGAAGCGACGGCUAAAUACGUG